CUUUGCCCUUCCUACUCACUCCCCUUUAUAAUCUGCCCCAGGAAAGGUAGGAGCCCCAAGCUGAGCCCAACUGGGCAGAGGAUCCUCCUCCCAUCAUCACUGGUUUCCUCUCCUUCAUCAUGGACCAUUGCUCCUAGGGGAGCUCAGUCUUGGGAGUAAAGAUGGAAGCAAAGAAGAUAUUUAGCAGCUCUGCCUUUUCUGCAUCCUCAGUUCUCAGGCUGCCUUCUCACUCAGCAGUGGGCCCACACCUGCCCUACUCUUCCUUUUACUACUGGUGUAUUUGAAGAAGCCUUUCUUGUUCACUGAUGGAGUUGUACAGCUAUUGGAACUUGAAAUAGUGGGAUAUAAGCCAUGGGCAGGUGAGAGUGCAGGAGCUCAGAAGUACUGAGUUAAGAUAAAACAGAAGGUUGGAAUGUCCUUAGAGAAUGGUGUAACAAAUGUAAGGCUGGAGCCUGUGGUUUUUGCCUGUCUCUGCUGACUUAGAUUGCUUAGGCACAGUGUAUUUGUUGUUGAGAGAAUAUGAUGGAUGUCUACACCAAUUAGUAUGUAAUUUCUAGUGCAAGUACCUGUAACCAACUGCAGUUUAAUACAAUUUGUAGCCUUCUGAUGAAAGGUAUAGAAACACAGGUUUGGAAUGCAAUAAACGGAUUGGCUUGCA